ensembl:lncRNA
AGCAGCAUCUUGAUCUUAUGUCUUUCUUGAAGAGAAAUGUAUAUUUCUUAUAUCACAAAUGGGAAACUUGGGUGCUAAGAUGUCGUGAACAGUUGUCAAGGGUGUUAUCAAAAGUGAAAAAAAUAUUUGAGAGCCUCAUCUGUAUUUACAGCCUUUUUCUUUUGAAUUUUGAUAUGAUUUUCACCUAAUCUUCAGAGAAAUACCUCCUACUCGUAUAUUUAUGGAAAUCAUUGAACACUUUCAUUGUGAAUAAGCUGGCUCGUUGCUCUUAUUUGCCAUUCCAUUCAACCAUGUAUAGACGUGUCCAACUGCUCCCAACAUCAUUGGAUUUCUAUACACCGCAAGAGGAAGUCAUGGACACUUCUUCAAUCAUAUGACAACCAAAUACACAACCCAAGGACUAAUAUUUGGCCAUCUUUGUUUAAGAUGAAUGGCAUCUUAAAAAUUUACGUCAUGUACAGUAAUCAUCAUAAUCAUAUGGACAGCUCCUGCCAUAGUGUCUUUAUUCAUGACUUUUGCCCUUUAUUCUUGAUUGAUAAGUGACAGCUUUGCAUUCUGGACCUUGAAAUAUAUAUUUACAGUAGUCUAAGAAAUUUGUCCUUAAUCAAAGGAGGCUUGACUUGCCAGCACAUCUUUAGAAUAUUAUUGAGUAACUCAUUAAAAUGUUAAUAGCUUCUGUCAGGAUUUAUUGAUCCUGAUGUCAGCUUUUCUCAGAAUAAGAAAUAAAGCUGAUUUUUAUCUUAUCUUCAGACCAUGCUGAGUGAUCAGCACUUAAAUAGAAUAAUGAGAAGUGCUUGAGUAGAAUAAUCAACCUCUAGGACACGUCUUAGUUUUGAAUACAGACAGAGACCUUCAGAUGUAUGUAUUUUCUGUGGCCUGUGAAAUAAUAUGCAAUAUAAGGGCAAUGAAGAAAACACUUUAACUGGAUGAUUUUAGCAAACGCAAUUUGUUCUACUUAGGCAAAUAGAGGGAAUAAAAUGGUAUCACAUAUUUUCUAUUGGAUGAAAACAGCUGUUUGAAACACCAGUUCUUGGUAAAAUACUACUAGGACUGCCUUUGUUGUUCAAUGCAUCCUAAAUUACAUAAGUUAAAUCAUGACCAAAUUCUGUUCCACUGAAUUUCAAUAAAACAAACAUUUGAUGCAGAAUAUUUUCUGCUAUCUUCACGUUGUUUCAGUUAUACACAGAACUGAACAAAAGACUGACUGACAUAAGAAAAGAGAGAGGGGGAAGGCUAUUUGUUUUUCAGAGAAGGCUGCUAAUCUUAGAAUCUUUCCCACUGUGAGCAAGGUUGUCCAACAACAGCAGAACAGCAAAUCUCUUGCUGACCUAGCAGAACCAGGAUCAUCAAGUGUCAAAAUGAAUGAAAGAAAUAAGAGAGAAGAAUCUGUCUCUUAUAUCUUACUUUGAAAUGAUUAAGUCAACUUUCAUCGCAACACUUCUUCUGAAUACCCAAGCUAGUAUUUUACAGCAUGUCCAGAACUUCAAAGAAAUAAUUCUGUGAUAUUUUGCUGAUUCAAUCAUUUAAGGAAAAGGAAUCCUUAAGAAACCUGUUCCUUGAAGUUUUACUUAAGUAGCAGCCUACAGGGCAUCUGUCUCUGAGCCUGGAGUGUAAGCAGCACUGUGUUCUUUGUAACAAUGCUGUCACCUUGUACCUGAAAGGUGGCAGGUAUUUACUGGCAAAGGACAGGGGGACAGUAAAAUGGCUAAAAAGUUACCUGACUGCAUUUAAGCUGCAGCUUGAUCAGCCUGUGGAAAGGCUGUGUGGUGAAAGCACCUGCAAUAAAAAAGACUCAACCUUCUGAUUCAGGAAAUGCUUUUAAAUGUGUUCUUGUUACUUAAAAUUUUAAAAAAAUAAUUAAAAUGGUGGUCUGUUUAGUAGUUUGUUUCUAUAAGGACAAGGGUGAUUGCUGAGAGAGUGAUGAAAGCAGUGAAAUGUAAAAUAAUAAUAAUAAUUUGGGGCAUCCUAAGAAGCUUAUUCCUAAAUUAGAAUGCCUUGUCUAGUUAUUAAGUAGUAUCUGCAGUCAAGGAGAAUUUAUAGGAGUUAUAAUUAUGAGUGAUAUUGUUAUAGGCUUGGUCAACU